CAGUACCCAAUAUUCAGAUGUGUUUGCCACCAUAUGUAGCAAGUAUCCAUAUUUAAAUGACUUCCCUUCAAGGACUGGUAGUUUAUCACAUCAAUACCUACUAUUGGUAAGUUGUUUGGUGAGGAUGAUUUAACUGUAGCAAAACAUCAUCUGGAUAUGUUAAUGGAAUAUCGUAAACUUCGUCCAGACAUGAAUAUGCUAAUUGAUCGCCAAAAAUGUAGUUGGUUUGUGCGAGCAACGGAUUUUGAUGGUCGAUUUCGUACAGUCGAUCUAAAAGCUAAAUACCCAUGGCUCUGCUGAAUUGCUUCUUAGAUAAAGAGCUUCAUCAAUGGAUGAAGGGUAUGGAAGAUAAAAUCUUAACCUUGAUGAAAGUAAAGACAGUUUUCUUUCUGAAAUAUUUGCUGAAAUUGAGCGUGAAAUUGAUGAAAGCACUAAAAAAGAUGCUACAUUAAAUGGAGCUAUUCUAAUGUUGCCACGGUUAUUCAAAGAGUCUGUUGAAGCCUUGGUUACUUUUGAUAACACCCCAACGCUGAAUACACCUACUGUUGCAAUCCCCCGAGGUCAAAAGCUGACAUCAAAAUUUUGUUGUGUUAUAAUAGAUGGCCAAGAAAUAGUUGAACAUCAUAAUGAUGUUGAUAUCUCGUUAGGGAUGGCUUGUAUAUUUGCCUCCUAUUUUGUUUACAAUAUAAAAUACCCGGUUCAAUUAAAAAACACCUUAUUAUUUUAUGAGCACAUCAUAUUUGGCGUAUCAAACAAAGAAAUCCCUGUAACAAAUCGCAAAAUGGCAAAUACUUUGUACGAGAUUUAGCUAGUUUUACAAGGGAAUCUUAAUUAUACAAAUCUUUAAUGGAUUUUCACGAGUUUUAUCAAUAUCACAGAUAUCAAUAUUCACAGAUUUUCAAUCAUCAAUAGAAUCUGCGAAAACGAGCAUAUGAAAGACGCGAUACGGUUCAGAUUAAACUGUAGUUUAAAA
rnacentral:lncRNA from 1 species